AUACGUAGGGUGCGAGCGUUGUCCGGAAUUACUGGGCGUAAAGAGCUCGUAGGUGGUUUGUCGCGUCGUCUGUGAAAUUCCGGGGCUUAACUCCGGGCGUGCAGGCGAUACGGGCAUAACUUGAGUACUGUAGGGGAGACUGGAAUUCCUGGUGUAGCGGUGAAAUGCGCAGAUAUCAGGAGGAACACCGGUGGCGAAGGCGGUUCUCUGGGCAGUAACUGACACUGAGGGGCGAAAGCAUGGGUAGCGAACAGGAUUAGAUACCCUGGUAGUCCAUGCCGUAAACGGUGGGCGCUAGGUGUAGGGGUCUUCCACGACUUCUGUGCCGUAGCUAACGCAUUAAGCGCCCCGCCUGGGGAGUACGGCCGCAAGGCUAAAACUCAAAGGAAUUGACGGGG
rnacentral:rRNA from 1 species